GAUGAACGCUGGCGGCGUGCCUAAUACAUGCAAGUCGAGCGAACGGACGAGAAGCUUGCUUCUCUGAUGUUAGCGGCGGACGGGUGAGUAACACGUGGAUAACCUACCUAUAAGACUGGGAUAACUUCGGGAAACCGGAGCUAAUACCGGAUAAUAUUUUGAACCGCAUGGUUCAAAAGUGAAAGACGGUCUUGCUGUCACUUAUAGAUGGAUCCGCGCUGCAUUAGCUAGUUGGUAAGGUAACGGCUUACCAAGGCAACGAUGCAUAGCCGACCUGAGAGGGUGAUCGGCCACACUGGAACUGAGACACGGUCCAGACUCCUACGGGAGGCAGCAGUAGGGAAUCUUCCGCAAUGGGCGAAAGCCUGACGGAGCAACGCCGCGUGAGUGAUGAAGGUCUUCGGAUCGUAAAACUCUGUUAUUAGGGAAGAACAUAUGUGUAAGUAACUGUGCACAUCUUGACGGUACCUAAUCAGAAAGCCACGGCUAACUACGUGCCAGCAGCCGCGGUAAUACGUAGGUGGCAAGCGUUAUCCGGAAUUAUUGGGCGUAAAAGCGCGCGUAGGCGGUUUUUUAAGUCUGAUGUGAAAGCCCACGGCUCAACCGUGGAGGGUCAUUGGAAACUGGAAAACUUGAGUGCAGAAGAGGAAAGUGGAAUUCCAUGUGUAGCGGUGAAAUGCGCAGAGAUAUGGAGGAACACCAGUGGCGAAGGCGACUUUCUGGUCUGUAACUGACGCUGAUGUGCGAAAGCGUGGGGAUCAAACAGGAUUAGAUACCCUGGUAGUCCACGCCGUAAACGAUGAGUGCUAAGUGUUAGGGGGUUUCCGCCCCUUAGUGCUGCAGCUAACGCAUUAAGCACUCCGCCUGGGGAGUACGACCGCAAGGUUGAAACUCAAAGGAAUUGACGGGGACCCGCACAAGCGGUGGAGCAUGUGGUUUAAUUCGAAGCAACGCGAAGAACCUUACCAAAUCUUGACAUCCUUUGACAACUCUAGAGAUAGAGCCUUCCCCUUCGGGGGACAAAGUGACAGGUGGUGCAUGGUUGUCGUCAGCUCGUGUCGUGAGAUGUUGGGUUAAGUCCCGCAACGAGCGCAACCCUUAAGCUUAGUUGCCAUCAUUAAGUUGGGCACUCUAAGUUGACUGCCGGUGACAAACCGGAGGAAGGUGGGGAUGACGUCAAAUCAUCAUGCCCCUUAUGAUUUGGGCUACACACGUGCUACAAUGGACAACACAAAGGGCAGCGAAACCGCGAGGUCAAGCAAAUCCCAUAAAGUUGUUCUCAGUUCGGAUUGUAGUCUGCAACUCGACUACAUGAAGCUGGAAUCGCUAGUAAUCGUAGAUCAGCAUGCUACGGUGAAUACGUUCCCGGGUCU
rnacentral:rRNA from 1 species